UACGUAGGGGGCAAGCGUUGUCCGGAAUUAUUGGGCGUAAAGAGCUCGUAGGCGGCUUAGUAAGUCGGCGGUGAAAUACCGAGGCUCAACCUCGGCACUGCCGUCGAUACUGCUAUGGCUAGAGUUUGGUAGAGGAGAACGGAAUUCCCGGUGUAGCGGUGGAAUGCGCAGAUAUCGGAGGAGACCGCGGCGAGCGAGUGGUCUGCAUGGCG
rnacentral:rRNA from 1 species